rnacentral:tRNA from 1 species
GGCUGAGUCUCAGUGGUAGAGUAUCUGCUCAGUAUGCAGAAGGUCCCUGGUUCAAUUCCCAGCAUCAUCCA